GCCGCCGCCGCCGAUGAAAACCACGAAGCGCAGAGCAGCAGCAACAACGUCAAUUACUGGAUUAACCAUUGAUAAUUCAGUUCUUCCUAUAGAAUUAAUAUUUGAAAUACUCAUAAGAUUGCCUGUAAAAACAUUGCUGAAGAUGAGAUCUGUUUCAAAAUCCUGGAGUUCUCUCAUCUCAACUCCCGAAUUUGUCAAAGCACAUGUAAAAUUUUCAGCCAAUAAUCGAGAAUUUGCUCACCACAGGCUUCUUAGUGUCAGGUCAGGUACUCA
rnacentral:misc_RNA from 1 species